GUCCCGGUCGGUCCCGCAGCCACUGGACACUUGCCCAUCUUUCAGCCUUUAAAUUGAGAGGAACCACUGAAGAACUCAUGCAGUGUUUCCUCAAAGCCCCGUGUCCUUGGGAACAACCAAGAUGUAAUCGGUCAGAGAAAUGGUUUCUUCCCGGAUCCAUAUGAGUCAAACUGUUGUGUGACUGGAGAUACUCGUGCCUGCAGAGUUGUGACAAGCAAGCCUGUGAGUUCCCAGGCCAGCCUGCAAGAUGGUGAGAGGAAAGAGAGGACACGAUUGAACUGCCCGGAAUCUGCAUCCACCUGUGUUGGAAAAACACCCGGACCCCAGCCCUGCAAUGGGAAGCCGAGCUGGAGGCCAUCCCUGGGGACUUGUCUCCCUAAUCACUACCAGGCUGCAAAUUAACAAAAUACCUGGAGGAAUAGAUAUUGAUCAUCUCUAAGCCUCCCUGUUUGGGGUCCUCCUUCCCUUCCGUGAGGUUUCCAGAGCUCUGUACACUCACAGGGCUCUGAAACAAAGGCCAGCAAAAAUAAAAGGAACUGCCACUGGGAGGGCAAACAACCAAAGCCAGGCAACAAGCCACACACCUGCAAUCCCAACUCUCAGAAGACAGAAGCAGGAAAGUUAUGAGUUCAAAGCUAGUCUGGUUUGCCUCAAAAGCCCAACAGAGCAACAGAAUGUUGCUCUUAGAAUACAUCCUGAAUCCCACCUCUGACGAGACUCUUGCAGCCCUCCUCCCUGCUCCCUGUCUGAAAGGUCUACAUAUUCCAUGAAUCCUUGUGGGAGCCUGACUCUUAUAAGGUGUCAAGUUGGGGGCUGUGGUCAGAAUCACACAAUGCAAAACUGUCUAACUAAAGGACAGGAAGAAGAGUUUAGGUGUUUCAGAAGAUUGAAGGAUUGGAGACAACAUUUUGUUUAAGAUGCUGAUUUUGACACUCACUGUUGCCGGGUCCAGCUUGAAGCAGGGAAUUUUUUUUUGUUGUUGUUGAUAGAAGGGAAUAUGGGGGAUUCUUGCUGGGUUUGGAGAGAGUACUUGAUUGCUGAUUAAAAUCUGCAUCGCUAAUGCAAACCUGAACCUUUCAGGAA